rnacentral:rRNA from 1 species
ACGGGGUGCAGCAGGCGCGAAAACUUUACAAUGCGGGAAACCGUGAUAAGGGGAUCUCGAGUGCCAGCAUAUAAUGUUGGCUGUCCAGAUGCCUAAAAAGCAUCUGUUAGCAAGGGCCGGGCAAGACCGGUGCCAGCCGCCGCGGUAACACCGGCGGCCCGAGUGGUAACCGCUAUUAUUGGGUCUAAAGGGUCUGUAGCCGGCCAGGUAAGUCCCUUGGGAAAUCUGGCAGCUCAACUGUCAGGCUGCUAGGGGAUACUGUUUGGCUUGGGACCGGGAGAGGUGAGAGGUACCUUGGGGGUAGGGGUGAAAUCUUGUGAUCCCCGGGGGACCACCAGUGGCGAAGGCGUCUCACCAGAACGGGUCCGACGGUAAGGGACGAAAGCUAGGGGCACGAACCGGAUUAGAUACCCGGGUAGUCCUAGCCGUAAACGAUGCUCGCUAGGUGUCAGUCACGGUGCGACCGUGAUUGGUGCCGUAGGGAAGCCGUGAAGCGAGCCACCUGGGAAGUAUGGCCGCAAGGCUGAAACUUAAAGGAAUUGGCGGGGGAG